AUACAACAUCCAGAUUCAUGAGGAAAGCAACAUUUUAAAUCUGACAAUACCAGUACUGACAGGUGGCUCUCCAGGGACUUUGACAAUACAAGUAAAACUGAAGAUGCGCUUACCUAUGACCCAAAAUUCUCCUGCUCGGUGCAAAUCCUAGAAAAAUUCUCGUGUGGACAGAAGAUAACACACACGUGAUGCUCAUUACAUCAUUGCACAAUGUGCAAAGACAGGAAAACCACCUAAAUGUCCAUCAACAGAGAAACGGAUAAGCAAUUUAUGAUAUGUUCACUUGAUGGAACCACUUUUGUGGUCUGAAAAAGUCUUUAUUUGACCUUUAUCUUUGAAACAUAUUUUCACUGGGCGAAGAAUUCAAGAUAUUUCAUAAUGUAAAACACCUAUCAUUUAGGUUAUUAGUAGCUUCUGCUGUCAAGAACGAAUAUUAGAAUUUGCCUUUGAGGCUCACCAUCUUUCGCUCACAUUUGCGUAAUUAAAAAGCUCACAGAGGUGGCUUCCUGGGGGAAAAAGAACACCCUCUUCUAAGAAGGAAAUAUUCAAGGUAAUAUAGCUCUGAAGAGGUAAAUUGUUCUGGGCGAUUAUUAGAGAUGUUUUUAAAAGUGUAAGCUGAGUUCUAGAACUGCAUCUCUGCAAAAUAUUUCCUUAUGAAAAAAAUGGGUUUUUGUGAAUAUUCAUUUAGACUAAACCGUGCACACAAAUUAUUGUUCAUUCUCGUGCCUUUAGAGAGAUGACUCUGUGUGUGUGUGCACCCGUGCCCAGGCAUGUGCAUGCACACACUUUUCCUGUUCAAGGAUAACAGGAAUAGAGAACCUCAAAGACCCAGGAUCGUCUCUAGGCUCAUCCUCAGGACUGUGCAGAGGAAGAGGAUUCGCUAGAUAUCCACUCUGUAACGUGACGAUAUUGAUGAAUUGAUCCCCUGAUACGUGCAUUUAUGUCAGGACGAUUGCGCAGUUAUCUUGUUGGGGCAAGACAGGGCUAGACCACACCCCUGUGAGUAAGUGUGUGUGGAGCCCCACUGUCAAAUGGAACAGGGAGAUGCAGAUCUGGGGACAGCAAAUGAAGAAUUGCAUCAUUUCUUUGUGGGAGUUUCUUCCAAUUUGGCUUGGUCUCGGAGGCAAAGAGAGCCCAGCUGGUGGGCUCCGAAUGUGGUAACAUUGGUAGCAAUACUAAGCAUUUCUUGUGAUCUUUUUCCCUUCCAUUAUCUCCCGAAUUUCUAG
rnacentral:lncRNA from 1 species